AAAAUAUAUUUCUUUUAUUAAUUAAAAGUAAAAAAAUUGUUGAUGACAGUUGAAUUUAUGCAUAAUAUCCUCUAAUUCAAUAAAUUUAAAAAAAAUGAUUAGACACCAAAUAUAAAUAUCACAACAUUCAAUAUAAUUUAUAUCCAAUAUAAAUAAUGAGUAAUUUUAUAAGUUUGAAUAGAAAAGUCAAUUUAAAAGUGAAAAACUGAUUGUUUAAUAUAACUCGAGUGAACUCAUAUUUCUAUAAUUAUAGUAUAAAUAUUAAAUGUUAAUCCCAUUAAUACGGUGUUUGGACUGGGGCAGAAAACUACCCGUUGAAUGGUUAAGAGUGACGGCUUACUUACAGGCUUCCGGGCAAGGCGAUGCCAUUCAUUCAUUCUUCAAUUGAGUUGCAGUGCAUUGCACAGACAAACUAAUAGGAAAAGAAUUAAAAGGCAGGCACAGACAGCAUUCAUUUCAUCAACGUGUCAAGCAGAAGGGCAAAUCCCUUCUUUUCCUUCUGUAAAAAAACUUAAAUUCCCGGAAAAAAUAUACAACGAUCAUAUAAUCAAAAAAAAUUUUGGUUCAUCCUUUGGAUAAGGUAGGAUAGGAUCCGAUGGUGAUUCAAUCCAAUUACACAAACAAAUAACAACCAUUGCAAGGUGGUGAUGGAAACUCAGGAUCCGCAAUCUCAACCAUGCCCAUUGCCAAUCCACCACUCCCGCCAUCAAAUUCAGCCGAUACCAGCUGUGCAUUCAUGACGAGAGGACCCAGGAGGGCCCACUCGGAGGUGUUCUUCCGCUUGACUAACCAUGACAUGUCCCUCUUUAUGAUGGAUCCUAUGAACGCCGGAGGAUCCAACGAGGCGUCGACGACCUUUUCUCAACCUACAUUGACCUCGACAAGCUCAACUCCUCCGACGCUGCACUGACGGACUCACAAAUCUACUACAGAUCCUUCUGAGGUGGAGAAGCUGUCGUCAUCCUCCUCCAGACCUAGACACAGGCACAGUAAUUCCGUUGACGGCGAAGUUAUGGAAGCCAAGAAAGCUAUGCCUCCUGAUAAGUUGGCUGAACUCUGGAACAUUGAUCCCAAACGUGCUAAAAAGUGCCAGGUUGAGUCUGAUCAGUUCACCCUGCAGAAGCAGCAAAAUCAUGCUUUUAGUUGUGUAAGUUUAAACUCAAUCAUUUAACAACUAAUACAAAAGAGAGAGAGAUAAGAGAGAGAGAGAGAGACUUGGAGCAAUCGACAUCAGGGGUGACCUUGUAGGGACAAGUAGUUCCACAUUUUGCAGGGAUCUCAUUAACACGGUCGUAGUUGAGUCCAGGGAUUUUUGCAGCACCUUCUUUAAUACAGUUACAUUUCUUCCUGCGGUCUUCGGUGGUUUUGGCAGCCGCGUCCAGAGUUUUAAUACCCGUACAGCAACUUGGAGCCACUGUCCCUCCAAAAACCCCAUAGUUAAUGCACGGAAUAAGGAGGAAUGUGACCUGUUCGCAUGUUAUGGCUGCACCUACACAAUGAUGAGGCACCAACAUGGAAACUAUCCGUACUUACUGGACCUCUACUCCUCUACCCUUUAUAUAGAGAGAGCGUACUUGGAUUGGGGCUGCUCUUUUUUUUUUCUUCUUUUCUCGCAUGCGUCAAAUUGAAGGCGAUGAGGAGCAAGAUUUUCCGGUUACAAACAAGCAUAUUGUUGGCAUUAGCGGCAAGAAUAUUCAAACUGGAAGAUAUCUCUUUUACGUAUGUUCAUAUAUGAUGAUUGAUGGUUAGCUGAAAAUCAAAUUACAAGACUUCUUAACAUGUGCUGGAAUAGCGAUAGUGUUCAUCUCCAUAUUGGUCUCAUCCUCCAACUAUCUUCCCUCAAAUUUCUUUAUUUAAAAGUUAAAAAAGUAGAUUUAAAAUUUAGUUGAUAUAUUUUAUUUUCAAUAAUUUACUUUUUAUAUUUUCAGAUUUGAAAA